rnacentral:rRNA from 1 species
AUUGAACGCUGGCGGCAUGCCUUACACAUGCAAGUCGAACGGCAGCGGACCUUCGGGUGCCGGCGAGUGGCGAACGGGUGAGUAAUAUAUCGGAACGUACCUUUCAGUGGGGGAUAACGUAGCGAAAGUUACGCUAAUACCGCAUAUUCUGUGAGCAGGAAAGCAGGGGGAUCGCAAGACCUUGCGCUGAUUGAGCGGCCGAUAUCAGAUUAGCUAGUUGGUGAGGUAAAGGCUCACCAAGGCGACGAUCUGUAGCGGGUCUGAGAGGAUGAUCCGCCACACUGGAACUGAGACACGGUCCAGACUCCUACGGGAGGCAGCAGUGGGGAAUUUUGGACAAUGGGCGCAAGCCUGAUCCAGCCAUGCCGCGUGAGUGAAGAAGGCCUUC